GGUGCACUCGUCCGGUUUCCAUGCCAGCAUCAGUUGGGACGGCAUGAUAAAGGCGGUGGGAAUGUGGCUCUCUUCGGGGAGUGUUAUAGCCCGUUGUGUAAUACCCUGGGGGGGACUGAGGUUCGCGCAUCUGCAAGGAUGCUGGCGUAAUGGUCAUCAACGA
rnacentral:rRNA from 1 species